AUCAGGUAGGACUACCCGCUGAACUUAAGCAUAUCAAUAAGCG
rnacentral:rRNA from 1 species